rnacentral:piRNA from 1 species
UGAGAUGACGUUGUAGAUGAAAUGGUUAAA